rnacentral:rRNA from 1 species
CGCCGGAUGAUCAAGGGUUCCAGGGUCAAGUUAAUCUGCCCUGGGUUAGUCGGGGCCUAAGGCGAGGCCGACAGGCGUAGUCGAUGGAUAACGGGUUGAUAUUCCCGUACCGGUGAAAAACCGCCCAUACUGAUAUUGUGAUGCUAACCAUGCGAAGCAUGAUGUGCAGGCUUUUGUUUGUGUGUUGUGUGGGUUGUGGGACCCGAUCUUUGGAGGUAAACGUGUUAACAGGUGUGACGCAGGAAGGUAGCCAAGCCACGCGAUGGUUGUCGUGGUCUAAGCGUGUAGGGUUGUCGGUUGUUAAAUGCGCCGGCUGUGUGCCUGAGACGUGAUGGGACCCCGUUUUUGGGGGAUUUGGUGAUCCUAUGCUGCCGAGAAAAGCAUCGGCGUGAGGUUUUAGCCGCCCGUACCCUAAACCGACACAGGUGAUCAGGUAGAGAAUACUAAGGCGAUCGAGAGAAUCAUGGUUAAGGAACUCGGCAAAAUGCCCCCGUAACUUCGGGAGAAGGGGGACCUUGAGCGUGAUGGGCACUUGCUGCCUGGAGCGUGUAUGGGUCGCAGAGACCAGGGGGAAGCGACUGUUUAUCAAAAACACAGGUCCGUGCGAAGUCGUAAGACGAUGUAUACGGACUGACUCCUGCCCGGUGCUGGAAGGUUAAGAGGAUUGGUUAGCUCUUUUGAGCGAAGCUGAGAAUUUAAGCCCCAGUAAACGGCGGUGGUAACUAUAACCAUCCUAAGGUAGCGAAAUUCCUUGUCGGGUAAGUUCCGACCUGCACGAAUGGAGUAACGACUUCCCUACUGUCUCAACCAUGAACUCGGCGAAAUUGCAGUACGAGUAAAGAUGCUCGUUUCGCGCAGCAGGACGGAAAGACCCCGUGACCUUUACUAUAGUUUGGUAUUGGUGUUUGGUUUGGCUUGUGUAGGAUAGGUGGGAGACUGUGAAGCAUGGACGCUAGUUUGUGUGGAGUCGUUGUUGAAAUACCACUCUGGUCAAUCUGGAUGUCUAACUUCGGGCCAUGAUCUGGUUCAGGGACAGUGCCUGAUGGGUAGUUUAACUGGGGCGGUUGCCUCCUAAAGUGUAACGGAGGCGCCCAAAGGUUCCCUCAGCCUGGUUGGCAAUCAGGUGUUGAGUGUAAGUGCACAAGGGAGCUUGACUGUGAGACUGGCAGGUCGAGCAGGGACGAAAGUCGGGACUAGUGAUCCGGCGGUACGUUGUGGAACGGCCGUCGCUCAACGGAUAAAAGGUACCUCGGGGAUAACAGGCUGAUCUUGCCCAAGAGUCCAUAUCGACGGCAUGGUUUGGCACCUCGAUGUCGGCUCGUCGCAUCCUGGGGCUGGAGUCGGUCCCAAGGGUUGGGCUGUUCGCCCAUUAAAGCGGUACGCGAGCUGGGUUCAGAACGUCGUGAGACAGUUCGGUCCCUAUCCGCUGCGCGCGUUGGAAAUUUGAGAAAGGCUGUCCUUAGUACGAGAGGACCGGGACGGACGAACCUCUGGUAUGUCAGUUGUACCGCCAGGUGCAUGGCUGGACGGACGAACCUCUGGUAUGUCAGUUGUACCGCCAGGUGCAUGGCUGAUUGGCUACGUUCGGGAGGGAUAACCGCUGAAAGCAUCUAAGCGGGAAGCUUGUUUCGUGAUGAGUUCUCCUGGCACCCUUUGGGUGUGUGAGGUUCCCUGUAGAUGACGGGGUUGAUAGGCCGGGUAUGGAAGCGCUGUAAGGUGUGGAGUUGACUGGUACUAAUAGACCGAAGGCUUACAUU